CCUACGGGUGGCAGCAGUAGGGAAUAUUCCGCAAUGGGCGAAACUCUGAUGCAGCGACGCCGCGUGAGUGAAGAAGGAUUUCGUUAUGUAAAGCUCUAUCAUCAGGGAAGAAAGUGACGGUGCCUGAGUAAUAAGCCCCGGCUAACUACGUUCCAGAAGCCGCAGUAAUACGUAGGGGGCAAGCGUUAUGCCGAUUUACUGGGUGUAAAGGGAGCGUGGACGGCAGUGACAGUAUGGAGUGAAAGGCGGGGGGCCAAACCACAGACUGCUCUGGAAACUGUACAGCUUGAGUGCAGGAGAGGUGAGUGGAAUUCCUAGUGUAGCGGUGAAAUGCGUAGAUAUUAGGAGGAACACCAGUGGCGAAGGCGGCUUACUGGACUGUAACUGACGUUGAGGCUCGAAAGCGUGGGGAGCAAACAGGAUUAGAUACCCCGGUAGUC
rnacentral:rRNA from 1 species